AUCUCAUAUGCUCUUCUUGUCUCUCUAUGCCAAAAAGCACAGAUUUAGGCACCAACCUUAUCAGCUUUCAUGUGCUUUAGCCCUUUUCGUCAAGAACAGUUAAUUCGUGUCUUUGAUCAUUGCCUUGAAAUGUGCAGGCUUGUGGACCUGCAACCUCAGCCCCACUGGCAUAACUUAUCCAUGGGGCCAUCCCCGUCCCCGCAAGUGUUUGGGCCGAAAAGACAGAGCAGAUCCACAAAAGGGUACAAAGCUGGCCUGUAGACCCCUCGGCGGGCUCCACCGUCCUCCUCCUUGGCUAUAGCCAGGCAAUAAGCGGGCCCUCUUAAGUCUUAGAGGAACAAGAUGUACAAGGUGAUUAAUUGAAAUGCCAUGGUUGAAUAGUUGCAUUGAUAUGAACUUGCCUUCGAGAAGCUGAGACUCCAGUUUAAGGUCUUAAUGCAACGAUUAAUGAGUCAGUUGUGAGACCUGUACUGGAUCAGUUUGACGCGUCUCUUUAUAGGCCAUAAAAGUUGUGCUAUUGCACUUGAAACUUCGUUCUUUGUUCCCGACAUUUCUUGGUGCAAGUGCUCGUGGACACAGGUCUCUUCUGUUAUUGUUCGAUUAGCUCAUAGGGUGACUUGAUAUUUCUUUUAUCCGCGAUGAAAAUUCUGCUCCAA